AGAGUUUGAUCCUGGCUCAGGAUGAACGCUGGCGGCGUGCUUAACACAUGCAAGUCGAACGAACCUUCGGGUUAGUGGCGGACGGGUGAGUAACGCGUGAGAAUCUGCCCUCAGGAGGGGGAUAACGGCUGGAAACGGCCGCUAAUACCCCAUAUGCCGAGAGGUGAAAUGAAUUUCGCCUGAGGAUGAGCUCGCGUCUGAUUAGCUAGUUGGUAGGGUAAAGGCCUACCAAGGCUUCGAUCAGUAGCUGGUCUGAGAGGAUGAUCAGCCACACUGGGACUGAGACACGGCCCAGACUCCUACGGGAGGCAGCAGUGGGGAAUUUUCCGCAAUGGGCGAAAGCCUGACGGAGCAGCGCCGCGUGAGGGAUGAAGGCCUCUGGGCUGUAAACCUCUUUUAUCAAGGAAGAAGAUCUGACGGUACUUGAUGAAUAAGCCACGGCUAAUUCCGUGCCAGCAGCCGCGGUAAUACGGGAGUGGCAAGCGUUAUCCGGAAUUAUUGGGCGUAAAGCGUCCGCAGGCGGUCUUACAAGUCUGUCGUUAAAGCGUGGAGCUUAACUCCAUUUCGGCGAUGGAAACUGUAAGACUAGAGUGUGGUAGGGGCAGAGGGAAUUCCCGGUGUAGCGGUGAAAUGCGUAGAUAUCGGGAAGAACACCAGUGGCGAAGGCGCUCUGCUGGGCCAUAACUGACGCUCAUGGACGAAAGCCAGGGGAGCGAAAGGGAUUAGAUACCCCUGUAGUCCUGGCCGUAAACGAUGAACACUAGGUGUCGGGGGAAUCGACCCCCUCGGUGUCGUAGCCAACGCGUUAAGUGUUCCGCCUGGGGAGUACGCACGCAAGUGUGAAACUCAAAGGAAUUGACGGGGGCCCGCACAAGCGGUGGAGUAUGUGGUUUAAUUCGAUGCAACGCGAAGAACCUUACCAGGGUUUGACAUCCUGCGAAUCCCUUGGA
rnacentral:rRNA from 1 species